UGUUUGAUGUUCUAACGUGGACCCGUGAUCCGGGUUGCGGACAGUGUCUGGUGGGUAGUUUGACUGGGGCGGUCUCCUCCUAAAGAGUAACGGAGGAGCACGAAGGUUGGCUAAUCCUGGUCGGACAUCAGGAGGUUAGUGCAAUGGCAUAAGCCAGCUUGACUGCGAGCGUGACGGCGCGAGCAGGUGCGAAAGCAGGUCAUAGUGAUCCGGUGGUUCUGAAUGGAAGGGCCAUCGCUCAACGGAUAAAAGGUACUCCGGGGAUAACAGGCUGAUACCGCCCAAGAGUUCAUAUCGACGGCGGUGUUUGGCACCUCGAUGUCGGCUCAUCACAUCCUGGGGCUGAAGUAGGUCCCAAGGGUAUGGCUGUUCGCCAUUUAAAGUGGUACGCGAGCUGGGUUUAGAACGUCGUGAGACAGUUCGGUCCCUAUCUGCCGUGGGCGCUGGAGAACUGAGGGGGGCUGCUCCUAGUACGAGAGGACCGGAGUGGACGCAUCACUGGUGUUCGGGUUGUCAUGCCAAUGGCACUGCCCGGUAGCUAAAUGCGGAAGAGAUAAGUGCUGAAAGCAUCUAAGCACGAAACUUGCCCCGAGAUGAGUUCUCCCUGAGACUUAGAGUCUCCUGAAGGAACGUUGAAGACGACGA
rnacentral:rRNA from 1 species